rnacentral:tRNA from 1 species
CGCCGCCGCGGAGCGGUACUUCGCGCCGCCGGCGCUGGAGACGGUGGUGCGUCCCGUGCACCCGCGGGAGGCGGCGC